rnacentral:rRNA from 1 species
UACGUAGGGUGCAAGCGUUAAUCGGAAUUACUGGGCGUAAAGCGUGCGCAGGCGGUUCUAUAAGACAGAUGUGAAAUCCCCGGGCUCAACCUGGGAACUGCAUUUGUGACUGUAGAGCUGGAGUACGGUAGAGGGGGAUGGAAUCCGCGUGUAGCAGUGAAAUGCGUAGAUAUGCGGAGGAACACCGAUGGCGAAGGCAAUCCCCUGGACCUGUACUGACGCUCAUGCACGAAAGGCGUGGGGAGCAAACGAGG